CACCGGAGCUUGCUCCACCGAAAGAAAAAGAGUGGCGAACGGGUGAGUAACACGUGGGUAACCUGCCCAUCAGAAGGGGAUAACACUUGGAAACAGGUGCUAAUACCGUAUAACACUAUUUUCCGCAUGGAAGAAAGUUGAAAGGCGCUUUUGCGUCACUGAUGGAUGGACCCGCGGUGCAUUAGCUAGUUGGUGAGGUAACGGCUCACCAAGGCCACGAUGCAUAGCCGACCUGAGAGGGUGAUCGGCCACACUGGGACUGAGACACGGCCCAGACUCCUACGGGAGGCAGCAGUAGGGAAUCUUCGGCAAUGGACGAAAGUCUGACCGAGCAACGCCGCGUGAGUGAAGAAGGUUUUCGGAUCGUAAAACUCUGUUGUUAGAGAAGAACAAGGAUGAGAGUAGAACGUUCAUCCCUUGACGGUAUCUAACCAGAAAGCCACGGCUAACUACGUGCCAGCAGCCGCGGUAAUACGUAGGUGGCAAGCGUUGUCCGGAUUUAUUGGGCGUAAAGCGAGCGCAGGCGGUUUCUUAAGUCUGAUGUGAAAGCCCCCGGCUCAA
rnacentral:rRNA from 1 species